rnacentral:rRNA from 1 species
UGGGGAAUAUUGGACAAUGGGCGAAAGCCUGAUCCAGCAAUGCCGCGUGAGUGGUGAAGGCCUUAGGGUUGUAAAGCUCUUUUACCAGGGAUGAUAAUGACAGUACCUGGAGAAUAAGCUCCGGCUAACUCCGUG